CAGACCAAUUGAUCGAAGUGGACCUUGAGAUCAAAGAAAAUGAAGUUGUUAGAGAAGAAGUGGUAGCACCGAAACCGGUUGUGAAAUAAACAGUUAUUGAGCCCAAACCGGUUGUUAAGCUCCCAUUCCCCACUAGAAACAAGAAAAAAGGGCAACAUGAGAAAAACUUCGAAAAAUUCUUAGAGUUGUUCAAGAAGCUGGAAAUUAACAUUCUGUUGUUGGAGGCACUUGAACAAAUGCCUACGUAUGCCAAGUUCGUGAAUGAUUUCAUUUCUAAGAGGCGUG
rnacentral:lncRNA from 1 species